CUGCGGAAGGAUCAUUACUGAGUGAGGGCCCUCUGGGUCCAACCUCCCACCCGUGUUUAUUGUACCUUGUUGCUUCGGUGCGCCCGCCUCACGGCCGCCGGGGGGCUUCUGCCCCCGGGUCCGCGCGCACCGGAGACACUAUUGAACUCUGUCUGAAGAUUGCAGUCUGAGCAUAAACUAAAUAAGUUAAAACUUUCAACAACGGAUCUCUUGGUUCCGGCAUCGAUGAAGAACGCAGCGAAAUGCGAUAACUAAUGUGAAUUGCAGAAUUCAGUGAAUCAUCGAGUCUUUGAACGCACAUUGCGCCCCCUGGUAUUCCGGGGGGCAUGCCUGUCCGAGCGUCAUUGCUGCCCUCAAGCACGGCUUGUGUGUUGGGCUCCGUCCCCCCGGGGACGGGUCCGAAAGGCAGCGGCGGCACCGAGUCCGGUCCUCGAGCGUAUGGGGCUUUGUCACCCGCUCUGUAGGCCCGGCCGGCGCCAGCCGACAACCAAUCAUCCUUUUUUCAGGUUGACCUCGGAUCAGGUAGGGAUACCCGCUGAACUUAAGC
rnacentral:rRNA from 1 species